rnacentral:rRNA from 1 species
UUUUAUUUGAGAGUUUGAUCCUGGCUCAGGAUGAACGCUGGCGGCGUGCCUAACACAUGCAAGUUGAGCGAUUUACUUCGGUAAAGAGCGGCGGACGGGUGAGUAACGCGUGGGUAACCUACCCUGUACACACGGAUAACAUACCGAAAGGUAUGCUAAUACGGGAUAAUAUAUUUGAGAGGCAUCUCUUAAAUAUCAAAGGUGAGCCAGUACAGGAUGGACCCGCGUCUGAUUAGCUAGUUGGUAAGGUAACGGCUUACCAAGGCGACGAUCAGUAGCCGACCUGAGAGGGUGAUCGGCCACAUUGGAACUGAGACACGGUCCAAACUCCUACGGGAGGCAGCAGUGGGGAAUAUUGCACAAUGGGCGAAAGCCUGAUGCAGCAACGCCGCG